rnacentral:rRNA from 1 species
ACGAACGCUGGCGGCGUGCCUAAUACAUGCAAGUCGAGCGGAAUGAUGAAGAAGCUUGCUUCUUCUGAUUUUAGCGGCGGACGGGUGAGUAACACGUGGGCAACCUACCUUGUAGAUUGGGAUAACUCCGGGAAAACCGGGGCUAAUACCGAAUAAUCCAUUUUGCUUCAUGGCGAGAUGUUAAAAGGCGGCUUCGGCUGUCACUACGAGAUGGGCCCGCGGCGCAUCAGCUAGUUGGUAGGGUAAUGGCCUACCAAGGCGACGAUGCGUAGCCGACCUGAGAGGGUGAUCGGCCACACUGGGACUGAGACACGGCCCAGACUCCUACGGGAGGCAGCAGUAGGGAAUCUUCCACAAUGGACGAAAGUCUGAUGGAGCAACGCCGCGUGAGUGAAGAAGGUUUUCGGAUCGUAAAACUCUGUUGUAGGGGAAGAACACGUACGAGAGUAACUGCUCGUACCUUGACGGUACCUUAUUAGAAAGCCACGGCUAACUACGUG